rnacentral:rRNA from 1 species
AUUGAACGCUGGCGGCAUGCUUUACACAUGCAAGUCGAACGGCAGCACAGGGAGCUUGCUCCCGGGUGGCGAGUGGCGCACGGGUGAGUAAUACAUCGGAACGUGUCCUGUUGUGGGGGAUAACAGUUAGAAAUGACUGCUAAUACCGCAUAAGACCACAGCACCGCAUGGUGCAGGGGUAAAAACUCCGGUGGUAUGAGAUGGAUCCGCGUCUGAUUAGCUAGUUGGUAAGGUAACGGCUUACCAAGGCAACGAUCAGUAGCCGACCUGAGAGGGUGACCGGCCACAUUGGGACUGAGACACGGCCCAA